ensembl:lncRNA
CUAGGAGAUGUCAGCCCAGAGUUACAGUUGCAUCUUGCUCCGGCUGCCAAAGACAGGAGCAGUUAGGGCAGUUGGGGAUGGGUGCAAAGAUGCCCCAGGUUGCCACCGGCGACACCGUUAUGAAGUCACUCCAGGGUUCCGGCCGUGGCAACGAGCCCACCAAGAGCAACAAACGCCUCUGCGCAGUGCUCUGCUCUUGCCAGGCUCUGCAAGGGGACACAGCUGACCAACAGACCGCUUUGCUGCUGCUGAGAGUGGCAGACAGCCUACAGGGCAGAAGAAGACGAGGCAUCUGGGAACAGAGGCUUUUGGGAAAGCCAUCCGUUAGGCGAUGUUUUCCUGGAGGGCAGAAGACUUCUCAGCCCAGCCAAGGGCACAGAGAGCCAUCCCCCAGCCUGUGCCAGCCUUCCAGCUGCAAGAGACUGCUCAUGGCACUGAUGGCACCGCUCCGACCUUGGGCACGGCACAGGACGACAUCUGUGAGCUGUGCAGACGCUUCAUGCUGCUGAGCAUUGGAGCCAAGCAGAUGCACAUCAAUGAUGGCCCCAAAACCACCUCUUUUGCCAGCCAUAAAGUGCUCAAAGCCAAACCAUCGGAACUGGUGAGCCAAAGUGUGACCUCCGUUAGUCCCAUAUGUGACCCAUUCCAACAUGGGAGCCCUGAGCUGCGUGCCCAUCAGAGCCAGCUCAGCCAGGUGCAGUGGGCAAUGCAGAGUACUGUGAUGCCGAUCUUGGAGCCACCAGCAGCUACCAACAAAGCAGCAGCAAAUGGGCCAGCAGACCCAGUCAGCCCGCAUCCAUGUCCAGCUCAGCCCAGGAAGCGCAGGCAAUGUGCUGGGAGAGAGCACAACCGUGGCAGCCAGGCUGAGGACUCUGUGGACCAAUUCCAGGAGGAGUUUAGACCCAAGGCCAAGAAGAGCUGCAAAGCCUUGCCCAACUUCCCUGUGUCUCUGCUCCCAGAAGGCCUUCCAUCCAGCACUGCAAAUGGCAGCAAGCAGGUUCAGCCCAGCCGCGCUCCUGCUCCGGAUUUGGAUGGCAAACUGCAGAAGAGCACAGAGAGCUGCAGGACGGACGGGCCAAGCACAGGCAAAGAGGGCAUCUUCCACCCUGACCCUCCUCUGCAGAAACGUGCAGAGUGUGAUAAACCAUCCGGGAAACGGCAGAAGAAAUCCAAACAUCUGGAAGUGCAGCACAGCAGAAAGAGGUCCUUCCUGAGAAUGGACGACCCCUUUGACACAGCCAGUACCUGUGAUGUGGUCACUGUGCCCAGGAAGGUCGUGAAGCUCUCAUAGUCCACCAUGCACUGCAGCUCCUCGCUGGCCACACGAGGAGUUUCCCUUCAACAGCCACCAGUGCCCCAACAGCUCCUUCAUGCUGUUCAGUAUUAAUGUUUUCACGUGAUUCUUUAGAGUGUUUAAAAUAGAAUAUAUAGUUACUUCAUUAGGUAUAGGUGUUCAAAUUACAUUUUAUCUGUGUUGAAAAUACACUGUUAUAUAAUAAUAUUUCUUUCCUUUAGAUAAGAAAUCAUAUUUGCACGUGUUUUUUU